GACGAACGCUGGCGGCGUGCUUAACACAUGCAAGUCGAACGGAAAGGCCCUGCUUGCAGGGUACUCGAGUGGCGAACGGGUGAGUAACACGUGGGUGAUCUGCCCUGAACUUCGGGAUAAGCCUGGGAAACUGGGUCUAAUACCGGAUAGGAGCCAUUUUUAGUGUGAUGGUUGGAAAGUUUUUUCGGUGUAGGAUGAGCUCGCGGCCUAUCAGCUUGUUGGUGGGGUAUUGGCCUACCAAGGCGGCGACGGGUAGCCGGCCUGAGAGGGUGGACGGCCACAUUGGGACUGAGAUACGGCCCAGACUCCUACGGGAAGCAGCAGUGGGGAAUAUUGCACAAUGGGCGCAAGCCUGAUGCAGCGACGCCGCGUGGGGGAUGACGGCCUUCGGGUUGUAAACUCCUUUCGCUAGGGACGAAGCUUUUUGUGACGGUACCUAGAUAAGAAGCACCGGCUAACUACGUG
rnacentral:rRNA from 1 species